rnacentral:lncRNA from 1 species
GUUUCCCAAAGAGACUGGCAUUUGACUUUCCUCAGUAGACUGAGGAAAGAAGGUGCCCUCGCCCAGGUGCUUGAGGGCCUGACCAGGACAGAAAGGCAGAGGAACGGGGGGUUCACUCUCUGCUGGGGCUAGGGCAUCCAUCUUCUCCUGCCCGUGAACCCCAGUGCCCCUCAUUCUCAGGCCCUCGGACUCAGACUGACGGGCACUCCUGGCUCCCUGGGUCUGCAGCGCGCAGACGGCAGGCGGUGGGGCUUCUCAGCCUCUCCAACCGUGUGAGCCAGCUCCUACCAUGAGCCUCACACAGCUCUCCAUCUAUCCUGCUGGUUCUGUUUCUCUGGAAAACCCCAACUAACACACAGACCCCCUCUGGGCACCACGGUCCCAGAAGACGAGCGACCCAGUGAGGAAGGGAGCCGUGACAGCUGGAGGCGGGCUCUGCGAGGCAGGAGGCCACCGUCCUCCAUCUGAAACUGCCGCCCAGACACACAAAUCCGGCCUCCCAGCCCCAGAGGUUUGGUUUUUUCACUCAUAAUUUGGUCAUCUGUGCUAAAAUUGCAAAUAAUCACAAUGGCAUAAUAACCUUACGACUUGGUGCGUGGUGUGUUUAAGAGAAUGGAUACUUGGACCUGAAAAUGGAGUGUCUGGCUCAGGGGUCACCAACCUGCUGUAGCCAGCACCCAGAUCCAGCUCCCACCUCCUUUUGUCAAUAAAGCUUUAUUGGAACACAGCCACGCGCCUGCUUGCUGCUGUCCCG